GGUGCAUUAAUGACUUGGCCUUUGUUUAGCCUUUUAGUCAAAUUAUCUGUCAUAUUUUGAUUUGAAUGCACAAAUAAUAGUGUAAUAAUGCCAUUGUCCUUAUUUUCUUUUAUAGACUCAUAUCUAAUUUGUAAAUGUCUAUUCAUUUUCUUAUUAUAAUUUUUUUGAUUUAAUAGAUCUAAUAUUAAUCUAUUAUCACAAUGCAAACU
rnacentral:lncRNA from 1 species